ensembl:snRNA U6 U6 spliceosomal RNA
AUGCUGACUUUGGGAGCACAUAGACUACAAUUGGAAUGAUACAGAGAAGACUAGGAUGGUCCCUGCGCAAGGAUGACACAGAAAUUCAUGAAGUGUUCUAUAUUUUU